AGUGAACGCUGGCGGUAGGCCUAACACAUGCGAGUCGAACGGCAGCACAGUAAGAGCUUGCUCUUACGGGUGGCGAGUGGCGGACGGGUGAGGAAUACAUCGGAAUCUACUUUUUCGUGGGGGAUAACGUAGGGAAACUUACGCUAAUACCGCAUACGACCUACGGGUGAAAGCAGGGGAUCUUCGGACCUUGCGCGAUUGAAUGAGCCGAUGUCGGAUUAGCUAGUUGGCGGGGUAAAGGCCCACCAAGGCGACGAUCCGUAGCUGGUCUGAGAGGAUGAUCAGCCACACUGUAACUGAGACACGGUCCAGACUCCUACGGGAGGCAGCAGUGGGGAAUAUUGGACAAUGGGCGCAAGCCUGAUCCAGCCAUACCGCGUGGGUGAAGAAGGCCUUCGGGUUGUAAAGCCCUUUUGUUGGGAAAGAAAAGCAGCAGGUUAAUACCCCGCUGUUCUGACGGUACCCAAAGAAUAAGCACCGGUUAACUUCGUG
rnacentral:rRNA from 1 species